rnacentral:rRNA from 1 species
GACGAACCGUGCGAACGUUAUUCGGAAUCACUGGGCUUAAAGGGUGCGUAGGCUGGUUGCCAAGUCUGUGGUGAAAUCCUCCGGCUUAACCGGAGAACUGCCGUGGAUACUGGCGACCUCGAGUGGGGUAGGGGCUUGCGGAACUGUGCGUGGAGCGGUGAAAUGCGUAGAUAUCGCUUGGAACGCCAAUGGUGAAAACAGCUCGCUGGGGGUGUGCUGACGCUGAGACACGAAAGCCAGGGGAGCGAACGGG